rnacentral:tRNA from 1 species
GCGUUGGUGGUAUAGUGGUGCUGCCUUCCAAGCAGUUGACCCGGGUUCGAUUCCUAGCCAACGUA